rnacentral:rRNA from 1 species
AAAAACAUGUCUUUUUGAAUAUAAUUUAAGGUCUAACCUGCCCACUGAAAUUUUUAAAGGGCCGCGGUAUUUUGACUGUGCAAAGGUAGCAUAAUCAUUAGUCUUUUAAUUGAAGGCUUGUAUGAAUGGUUGGAUGAGGUAUUAACUGUCUCAAAUUAAUAAAUAAUUGAAUUUAAUUUUUAAGUUAAAAAGCUUAAAUAAUUAUAGAGGACGAGAAGACCCUAUAGAUCUUUAUAAUUUAUUUAUUUAUCAUAUUUUUAGUUAAUUAAUUUUGUUAAGUAAUAUAAUUAUUUUAUUGGGGUGAUAGAAAAAUUUAAUAAACUUUUUUUUAUUUAAACAUAAAUUUAUGAAUAAAUGAUCCAUUAAUAAUGAUUAUAAGAUUAAGUUACCUUAGGGAUAACAGCGUAAUUUUUUUAAAGAGUUCUUAUCGAUAAAAAAGAUUGCGACCUCGAUGUUGAAUUAAAGUUAAAUUUUAGGUGCAAAAGUUUAAAAUUUUGGUCUGUUCGACCUAUAAAUCUUUACAUGAUCUGA